CCGGCCUCAGCAAAAUAAACAUGGCUCAGGGAGAGGGUGAGGGGAGGAGGCUAGCUCACGCCAAUAAAGUGCUUGCCUCCCAAGCCUAAGGAUCGGAUUUUGAUUUUUCCCCAGGAGAGGCAGAAGCAGGAGGAUCCCUAGAGCUAAACAGCUAGCUAGGCUAGCCUAAUGGGUGAAUUCCAGGCCCAUGAAAGACCUUGACUCAAGGAUAGGAUGACACCAGAGAUGCUAUCCUCUGGACUCUACACGCAAACAUACAUCUGUUCAACCCAUCCAUCCCAUCCUGUCCCAUCCAUCACUGGAAACAUGUCCCAUAUCAGAUCAUGUCUUGACAGGAGGAGUACCAUCUCUGACUAAGGAUUUCCAAUCUGGAGGAGGAGACCAAUGUGCAAUUCGCUAACACUAUCUAACAGGCAUUACUUAGAUUUCAUCGAAACAUCUCUCAUCACCACGUGUCAAGGCAGCCAAGCUGAAGAAGCACGGAACUGCACAUCAGAAAUUAGGAUCGCAUCUGCAGCGGAGGGUACCACAGGACCGAGUCAGAUGAAAGAGUCUACGUGGACAGUUGCGCCAGCAGCUGGAGGAACAGAGGGCAGUGUCCUGUGCUAUUUCUCUCCCAGCUCUCAUCGCAUUGGUGGAGACACCUGCUAAUCCUUUGUGAAUCCCUCAAAUUCAAACCCAGCUCUCAUUUCGUUUCUGUCAGUGACCAAACAAUAUUCUGCCAAGGGGAGAGAUGGCCCAGUGGGUUAGAGCAUGAAAGUAAGAAGAUCUGAGUUACCCAUAAAAAGCUAGAUGGAGGUGCACACACCUGAACCUCAUUAUUGGAGGCUGGACAUAGGUGGAUCCCUGGAGCUUGAUGGUCAGUUGACCUAGCUUAAAAUGGGCAAGCUUCUGGUUCGGUGAGAGACUCUGUCUCAAAAAAAGUAAGAUGGUAGAUGACAGCAGAAGACUCCUGAAAUCUUCCUCUGGUGUCCCAUGCAUACAGAGGGGGGAGUUCAUCUGCCCAGUUCAAAAUACAUUCAAGGAACAAAAUCCCAGAGCUUUCUUCCUACCUCCAGGAAGCGUUUGAUUGUCAAUUUAUUUGUUUGCUAGAGACAGGGCCUCACUAUGUAGCCUUGGCUACUCACUGUGCAGACCAGGCCAGCCUCAAACUCAUGGAGAUCCACCUGCCUCGGCUUCCCGAGUACUAGGAUUAAAGGUGUGCGCCACCACACCUGGUAUUUUUAAAAAUAUGUUACAAUUAAUACCACUUUCUUUUCUUUACAGCUUUCCCAAACUUGAAGUCAGGUCCUAGGUUGUAACUUCUUCACGCCUCACCUCCUUCAUUAAAGUGAAAUUUACUUCCUCAAA